CGGCGCACGUUCCGGCUAGUCCCGCUAGUCUCGCUUUUUCGAAAGCUGCGUCGAGACGGCCAACGAGUCAUCCGGUGAUUUACUAAUCCUGGCUAAGGCCGAAGGCAGAGAACGAGACGUAGGUGUCGCAGUCGUAGCCGUAGGGCAACGUAAGUCGUAAUAUACUACUAUUCUAGAGUCUAGAAUAGUAUAUUACAUGUACGACUUACGUUUUUCUCUGCCUUACCCUACGACCGCGACUGCGACACCUACGUCUCGUUCUCUGCCUUCGGCCUAACCUUUGACUUCGUUAUUCGUCCUUCGCGACGUUGGAGUUGACAUUCUCGAAUUAUUCCGUCGCAACGUAGAACACGGAUUAACCGGCGGGUCAAUCGGCGCGUCUCGCGUUCAUUCGACGUUCAUGCUAAUUACGUUCGUAGCAAUUACGGCUGCACUCGUAAAAUCCCUGCCGUUUGAGAUUCCUCGCCGAUGGGAUUCACGGACGUCGAGUUUCGCGACGUGCCUUUUCCAUUCGCGAUCGCGAUUUCGCGGGUGAAUAAAACAUCGGGUAUAUGUUGGCUAUGCCUGUGUGACCUUGAUAAAACGACGCGGCGCGGGAGGCAAAACAUGGUGGGACGUUUUUUUUCUCUCGCGCGCGACGAUUUGUUGACAGUCGCGGUUGACGACGGGGAACAGAUUCUUUCCUGCCCGAGGUCACUCCGGAGUACUGGAAAAUGCGUGUAGCGCGGCGCGGAAUGUCAGACCUUACAUCUAUGACAUCUAUGUCUACGGUGGAGCCGAUUACCGUCCGAUUGGAUUGGAAUGAAAUGAUCUGCUGCUCUUUCGCUCGUCCUCGGUGAUUGGCUGGUCGCGCGCGCGCGAGAGAGAGAGAGAGAGAGAGAGAGAUUGAGACGGAGAGAAGGAGAGAGAAGUUAGUUGCACAAGCGUAGCGUAGUUUGCACUUGAACGUUGGUCGUCCGUCUUCACUUUCGAAGAUCGUUAAGUGCGGGAGUGCGACAGUGGACACGCGCGAUCUGUAAUUAAUCGAGUCUUCGCGAGUGUCGCGUGUGUGCGUGUGUGUGCGACGAGGGAAGCUGAGAGGAAGAAGAGAAAGAGGAGGAGGAGGAGGAGAAGGAGACGCCUGGGAGGCGUCGGGCGACGGCGGAGCAACUGCGGGGUCGACGAGGUACCGGCGAUCCUGCCAAUGCGCGUCGCGUCGUCGGGUGAGUCGCAUGGUUUCCCUUUCCUCUCUUUUUUUUUUAUCUCGUUGAGGUUAUGGAUCCUCGCGAGGGAGAACCGUAGCGGUUGUAUGUAAUAAAUAUACAAAUCUAUGUAUCGAGUUAACGGUGCGAGAAUGCGGAUAUGUAUACACACAGAUUUCUACAUGCACGUCCAGUAGACCGUUAACUUCAACCUUCGUGUCGCUAUAUUUAAAGAGGGUUAAAAGUCAUGUCGUGAGAUAUCAAAGCUCGAAGUUAUACAAGUUUUAUUUUUUAUUAGUAUUAAAAUAAAUUACUUAAUUUACUAGUUUUAUUAUGUAUGAUUGAAAAUAUAUUAAAAAUACAGAUUUUAUAUUAUCGAGAAAAUAUAAUAAAAAUACAGAUUUUAUAUUAUCGAGAAAAAUCAAGAAAACUUGGAAUUUUCAGGGAAUUUCUUUUUUAUCCUUGAAAAUCGUGGAUUUUCACGAAAAAAAAAAAAA